GGAGGUCCCACGGAUGCAGGUACUCAAGUGAUUGAAGCAGGUGCAGAUGCUGCAGGUGGGGAACCUGUGACUAAUGUCCAUAUCCAGGUGGAAGCAACAGCAAUGGGGGCCAUCUACGGCUCAAGUCCAC